GUGCUCCCUUCGGCAGCACAUAUACUAAAAUCAGAACGAUACAGAGAAAAUUAGCAUGGCCCCUGUGCAAGGAUGACAUGCAAAUUCGUGAAGUGUUCCAUGUUUUU